UACGGGGGGAGCAAGCGUUGUUCGGAUUUACUGGGCGUAAAGGGCGCGUAGGCGGCCACCGCAAGUCAGUUGUGAAAUCUCUGGGCUUAACCCAGAACGGUCAGCUGAUACUGCGGGGCUAGAGUGCAGAAGGGGCAACUGGAAUUCUCGGUGUAGCGGUGAAAUGCGUAGAUAUCGACAGGAACGCCUGCGGCGAAGGCGGGUUGCUGGGCUGACACUGACGCUGACAGCGCGAAAGCUAGGGGAGCGAACGGG
rnacentral:rRNA from 1 species